UAUUCAUCUAUCACAUAUAUCUAUGUAAAUAUGCGAAUCAAGUACAACAAUCAAACAACAUAAUAAUUUUCACAAAGAAAAUUAAAAAAAUAUUUAUGUUAUGUAGUCUUAUUUUAUACUAUUCUUUAAAUAAUGUAAUACAAUAUUAUACAUUAUUUUUUUAGAAUUGAGAAAUACAUAUAAUAUCUUAUCCGCGCGUAGCGCGGUUAAAAACUCUAGUGUUUAUAAUAGACAAACGUGGUGCGCUCUUCUCUUUCCAAAUGGUUUUCUAGAUAUUCUAUCAAACCUGGAAUAGUGUAACUCAAAGCUUAUCUCAAAACAACAAAACUUCGAAAGGGACCAAGCUUGUACUCAAAGCUUAUCUCAAAACAACAAAGGUUCAAAGCUUAUGAAAUGUUUAUAAUUUACAUCAUUGCAGGAUAUUUAGAGUUGUGGUUCGAUGGAAAUCUGAAACCAAGUAUAACUAAAUGAGGAUAUGUUAAGACGUCCGACAAUUGGUCCUGCUUUGUUUCUGUUGGAAACAAGUGGUGGUUCGUAAUCUAAGGAAAAGCUAAUAUACUACAAAUCUAUAGUCCAAACAAAAAUUAUCCGUUUACAAAUGAUAGUUAGUACCAGUCUCAUAUUACAUCAAUAUAAUGACGUCAUCUAUUCAUUUAAUACAACUAGUGUGUCAAAAUGAUGGUUUACGUCAUAUGGGUUAUAUUGCAGAUAUUACAAUGAAGGUAGUAUCAGUAGCAUAACACACAUGGCUAAUCAAAAUUAAUCACCCCAAACCUUCCAUAAUUAUAUAAACGGUAUCCAAUUAGUAAUUACCCAAGUUUCAUCACAAUCUUCACAACACAAACUCUUUCACAAUGACUAAACAUCAUAGAAUUCUCCCCAUAAGUCUGUAGCGUCAUCCCACCGUCUCCCACAAUUUAUCUUCACACUUCUCGGUUUUCAGGCUCUCUUAUUUUGUUUUUUUUUUAGUUUGCUGCUAUCAUCGCAUGAAAUAUUAUUUUACUUUUUAUAAGCAAUGCAAGUUAACAUUAUUAUCGAAUCACUCCCAUUGCAUGUUAACAGACAAUGAUUAUAAAAUGAGAAAGUGAUUACUCUUGCAAUAUCAUAAGAUAGACAUGAUGUUCCCAAAAAGAUUAGAAUGUCAAAAUGCAUUUAACAAUAUUCUACACUACUCAGCCAGUGACUGAUUUAAUAAAAUUUUAGUAUUAAAUAGUUUAAAUAAAAAAUUUAAGUUCAUAUAAAUGUAAAUUUAGUACCAAACAUCUUCAUCAUCUACAUCCACAUGUAUGCUAAAUCAUUAAAUAUACAAUUUAAAUAUUAUAUAUAUAAAUAUAAUUUAGAAAUAUAUAAAUAUAAAAAUGUAAAAAUAUCUAUAUAUAUAUAUAUAAUUGUUUGCCUCUCUCCUGUGAAGACACCUCAGCGCCACGUCAGAAAGUCGGCUUCGGUAGGCGCGACACCUAUCCUCAUUAAUCAAAACGCAGUGCUCCAUUGUGUUUCCGUACGGGCUUUUUUUUUUGUUUUCGGCAAAGUUGGCUUCGGUCCGUUCUUCUUGCGAACAACAUCAGAAACUACCCUGCUAAACCUAAUCGUUUCCUUUGGCUGUGAGAAGGACGAUCGAUCGUUCUGUUUCUCCCUGUAACGGAACUCGACUUUAAUGGCAUUAAUACAGACGCCCAGUACGAGCCCUUUCAUUCCGUCGGCGAGAUCUCUGCUAUAAAUAGGGUGUUUUUUUCUGAUUUGAAGACCGGGAAGUGUUCAUCGGCUGUGGAGGCUAGGCACUAUAGGGUUAUUUAUCCGGGCCGCGAUCAGACUAAGCUGUUCUUCCUCUUCUCUAAGAAUGAAUCAUGUAAGGAUUGCUCUUGCUCUGCGUUUCGUAUUUGAAUAUAAUUUUUUUCCUGUAAUGGCAUCGCUUCAAGUUCUAUAUCCAGCUUUGAUUUUGUUUCAUGAGUCAAUUUAUAUGGAUUGAGAAGGGAAACACAUGGAUUUAAUAUGUUGGUUAUUGAUUGUUUAAAUUAGUAAUACAAACUGGCAUUCUUUUCCAUCUCCUAUGCGCAGUACAAGAAAUACCUUGGAGUCUCACAGUAACUUAUCUUUCUCUCUUCUUCAGUUUUAGAGAUAGGCUAAGUGGAUGAGUUAAGCUGCAAACUAAAACAUUGAAUCAGAAUGCACCAAAAAUAUUUACUUUUAUCUUUGCUGUUCUUGAUCUUUUCAGAAACUUUUACUUGCAGAUACACUUAAGAGGAUAUUCUAGAAACGUAUACCAUGUGAAGGAGAAGAUUCAGUAAAUUGCAACUUUGUUAACUCUUUGAAAGAGGUCAGUGAAACUUUUUUUUUUUUUUAAUACUAAUGUAACAAUGCACAUUGCCGAACAGGUAAAGAUUUUGUUACCUUGCACAAGUGCUGAUUUUUCUUUUCAAGUGUGUGGCUUUCUUCUGCAUUUUAAUGUAUUAUCAUCUUGGGACAAUACCGUUUACAUCUCUGUCAGCCACCAUUAUCACGAUUCCCUUAACUUAAGUUACGAGGGUUAUAUAAUUCCAUAAGCUGUGUUAGGUGUAUAACUGAUAAUGAUGGCGAAUGAUAUUGUGACCAAUUUGUUAUUUUUUUCUGAAAUUGAUUGAAGAGCUUGCAGAAGCCAAAGGAUGAUUAUCUUCGACUAAACUUAUGUCUGCACCACUGGCAUGUGUUUGCUAACAAGUUUAUAUAAAGGCAAAACGACAACUUUUGUAGUUGCAGAUAUUAGAGACUGAUUACUGGUUAGAGUCCUAAGACGAGGAGCACCAAAUCCCCACGAAAGAUGUUUUCUCUACAUAGUCGAAUAUGACAAAAACUUUGUACUUCUUCUCUUUCUUAAUUUUCCAAAUGAGCUAUAUAUUUUCUGGGUUUGUUUGUUGUUCUAAAUAGUUGUAUCAUUUCGUAAGAAUUUUGGUGAAGAAGAUUAACAUUUAUAGUAUUUAAAACUUCAACUUUGACUCUUUUAUCAUAUCUGGGCGGGUGUUUUUAAAAGAAAUAAAAGAAGGCAAAGUCAAGUCAUAAGAUGGAGAUCUCCAUGAGCAAAAAAUAUUGAUACGAGCUUAUUCCCAAUAUGUUUAUGAUCAGUAGAACCUUUAGUUGAGUUUAAUAGAAUAAAUUUUGGAGUCUCUAAAAAUAAAGAAUAACUAAGGUUACUGUCGUUUUAAUUCAAACCAAACAUAUUUAUUAAAAAUAACAAUAUGAUCUCGGAAUUCUUUUCAUCAUUUGUUUGUCUAUAAUAUCAUUUUCUAUAAUGAUUUUAAAUGCUUCAUAAAUUUAUAUAAAAUUAUAUAAAAUAGUUUUUAUUAUAACUUUCCACCCGUAGUGCGGACCGACCCUAGUAAAAUAUAAAAAUAUAUGGUAAACAGAAAAAUAAAUAAUGGGUAAUAACAUUUGAUAAUAUGGAUAACUCCGUUUUAAUAUAUAAUCUAUAUAUAUGUAUAUAUUAGUGGUGUUGGUUUUACGGUGACUUCCAAAUGCCUACACUUAUCGGCCACUACUCAAUUUUCACACUUUCCAAUUUAAUAUAUAUAUUUAUUUUGAUUAGGCUUGCAUUAUUAUCUUAUUCUCAUUUAAAUAACAUUCUACUUUUAAUAAGAAAUUUAACUUCAAAUAAUCACCACCUCAACUCCAAUAGCAUGUCGAAAGACUAUGAUCUCAAUAUAAAAAUUAAUAUUUUUAUAUCAUACACAAAAAAUACCCACAACCCAAUCCUUCUGAACCUAAAUAUUACAAACCACAAAUAACACACCAAAUACGAAAUCAAUUUUUUGUAAAAGGAAACAACAUGAAAACCAUUUGAAGUACUCACAGUAUAUCAAUGUCACAACUCUUUAACAAAGAAACAACUAUUGCAAACAAACAAAAUAUAUUUUAUUACGUAUAAUUCAUUUUCACCUAAAACUUCUAAA